rnacentral:lncRNA from 1 species
UAACGGUUUGGUUUUAAGUUUGGGUUUUCAGUUUGGUUCGAGUUUAGUUUUUGGUUUAUAUGCAUAUACCUAAGUAAGCAAGUGGAAUUGUUGAUGUUGAGCUGAUACUCUGGCUAAUUAAAUUUUAUUGUUUUUAAUUAUUGUAGAAAAACUACUAGAAUCAAAGAUAGUAUUAACACAAAAAUACUAACCAUUAGACUAUGUUUUGCUCUUUUUGACACUAUAAUGGUUGUAUUUGCCCGCAAGUAAUAAUAUUAUAGGUAAAGACGGAAAAUAAAAGAUGAUUGUAAGAAGCCUUGUCGGAGACAUACUCGUCCACUAUACAAAUUUUUGGUCAAGUGAUUAAUAUAUCAAAAUGUCUUAUUUAUAUUAAAACUGGUUUGCACUAUUUGUCGUUUUUUUUAUUCUCUCAAAUUUUAAAAACUUUAUUAGAGGAUUUUUUCUGGAA